UCCUCGGUAGCUCAAUUGGUAGAGCACCUGGCUGUUAACCAGGGGGUUGCAGGUUCGAGCCCUGCCCGAGGAGCCG
rnacentral:tRNA from 3 species